AAGGUCACUUCCUCCAAACUCAGGAGCAAUGUAAAGAGGAAGUCAGCAGGACUGGGAGAAUGAAGAACUGCCCAGUUUUGGAGAAAAUCAGGUUUCAGACCAUCUAAGGAACCUGAAGGUGCACAAGUCCAUGGAACCUGAUGAGAUCCAUCUGUGGAUCCUGAGGUGGAGGAAGUGGAUGCUGUGGAACAAGCAGGGGAAGGAGGCUUGAACAGCUGCCAGACACAGUGGAGCAGGGCUUGCCCUCUCCUUGCACAGGGCAGAUUUGCAAGGCUGCCCAGAGGAGUCUGCCCUGUGACCGCUAAUGCUGUGCUCACCAUACAAACACAGGAUUGACAUCAUUCAGUACCUUCCAGAAGGCUGAACAAAAGGUUGAAAUCAUGGUGGUGAAGAGGGAAAUGGGAAGGACAGAGGAAGGAUGAGGAUACUAUUAGGAAGAACAUAAUGAAAAAUCCAUCAUGUUGGUUAACUGUAUCCUUAAAGCAAAAUAUAUGUUGUGCAACUGUGACACAUUCAAGUCUGAACAGCUGGUUUUGGUGAGAGGCAGCAGAAAUUAAUUUCCCGUGCAGUUUUUGUAUUAAUAAUUCAUCUCAUUAAGGUGUGGUCUAAUAGUGUUUGCACAGGCACAGGACUCAGCCCUAAUAUUGUUUUUGACAGCUAUCUCUUCUACAGGCAUCUGCAAUUCAUAUGUCCUUGCCUCAAUUUCUCUGUACAAGAAAGGGAAAGAACUGUGUAAGCUUUGGUUAAGAUCUGUAAAGUAGCUGGCUACUACACUGUUACUACUCUUUAAUCUUUUGCAACAACAUGAAGACAGCAUAACAUUCAGGUAUCCUGAUCACAUUGGGUUUAUUUCAAAGCAUCAGUGAAUCAGGCCCAAGGGCCAGGUUUAGAAGCACAAGAUUCUGACCCACAGGAUCAAGUCCCUUGCAAAAAACUACAGGAGCUGGCUAACCCUGGGUGAUAUUUAACAACCCAAAGACCCAGUAAGGUCUUGUCCUGCUAAGACUUAUUUUAUUAUUCAUACUGUGCUGGAUUUUAAUAGUAUUAUUAUAAAUGAUUGAACUAAAUUACAUUAUUGUAAAGACUGCUUUCUGGUCUUUUUUCCCCCUCAUCUCCAUUAUUUAGAUUCUUCCUUUAAUAUAUGAAAGGACUUCCAGUUGUCAGUGUGAACUUUCAAGAUUUUACUGCAAAACAGGUGAUCCUAAUUUUCAGUUAACCAACAAAUCCUCAAAACACAGUGACAUAAAAAGCAUAUUCAUUCUUAGUGAUAUCCACUGGUUUGAAUCAUGAAUCUGUUUAAGAUCAUAUAGUGGAGGUUUUCCCCAGAGAUGUGUUUUAGCCCUGUACAUUUUCAUGUGCUUUCUUCUCGUCUAGCAGUACUGGUGCAGUGGGGAUCUAAUGUGUAUUUGUGCAUUAUGGGAUACAAUACAAUAUGUAUGUUUAUAUCAGAAUAUAUAUGACUCUGAUAUGACCAUCUUAGUACAGACAGAAGUUAUAUUAGUACAGAUUACAGCAUUCCUCAGGCCCAGAAGAUAAAUAAUUGUAUGGGUAAAAGCAUAUUUUUGUUGUAUAACACAACCACUCUGUCCUGCCAGGAGCAGAGGAAAUGAUACUGCUUUGUUAACAACAAUAUAGUUAACACAGUAAAAAUUAUAUGAGUAAAAAGCAUUAGUACAUAAUGAAAUUAUUUCUUUCUUUCUUCAUCAAAUAUUGUGGUUCUCUUUCCACUGAAUCCUCUGCUCAGCUCCAGAUAUGAUAAUUUUAUCUUAUGUUUCUUUUAUUGUAUUUUCUCCUGUACAGUUCAUUCAUUUUCUGGAAGGUAGAUGGAAAACACCAACCUCCUUUCUUCUUGCUUCAGAGGUGCCUCAUGCUGCUUUUCCUCUUAUGCUGAUCAGCUCCAGAAAUAACCCUGCAGAGCCAUUGCUUGGCUUUGAUUAGAGAAAUCCUUCUUCCUUCUCCACCCUGUCCUUUCUGGUUUCUCUACCUUCUCUCCACAGACACCAGACUAAACCAGUCUGUUUCCUUUCCUUAUCUGGUGUUAUUCUAAUCACAUAAACAUCACCUUGCACUCCCUUCUUCCUUCUCAACUUUGAGAUUACUUCCCCCCAUCCUGUCAUGAGCCCAGUGAUAAUUUCCUUCAGCAGUUUGCUUUCUUAUCCUCAGUUAUUGGAAGCAAAGGCUCCCCUGUUGCAUAUUUUUAGCCCACAAGUUAAGAGUGGUUCAACACUUUCCUUUACUCAUUGUUAUUUAACCAAAAGUCUUAGUGAUGGGAAGAAAAUAGAAGGUAUUUUAAAUGUCUUUUGUAGGCUUGACUGGUUUCCAAGACCUGCAGCUUAAAAUGAGAAGCCAGUCAGAGAAGAAAAAACUUCUUUCAGAAAGUUCUUAAAAAUCAAGUUGUAACAGUUUUUAGAAAUUUCAUUUUGUUUGUAGCAAAGACCCCUCAAAAGAUGACAAUGGAAAAGCCUAAGGCUCAUGUAAGCCCAAGGCACCAAGCAGAAAAUACAAACAGAAGUUUCAUUUUGCCAAGUAGAAAGCUGGAAGCGCUGUAUACAUUAAUGUUGAAGAGUUUAGUGGUUAUGAGAGAAAAUGGAGUGAUUAUUGCUGAUGUGUGAAUGUUGCUGACAUAAUUUCCAUCACCAACAGCUCAUGAAAUCCAGUUGCACAGGAGUCCAAUUACCUUUCCUGUAUCAGAAGAUACUGGAGCACAGAGAGUUAGUGGGUCACACAGUUCAUAGAAAGACACGGACAAGCAAAAAGCUAUAGCGAAAAUCUUAUAGACUUGUAUGAGCCAAAAUAUCCCCAUUUUUCAAACUAUUGUAUGAAUAAAUAUGAUAUCAAUUUUGCUCAUUA